UAUCAGGAGAGCAGCGGCCGGGAGAGAGAGGAGGUCAAGAACACGAAGGAAGAGUGUGCUCCGCCUUCAGUCAUUCGCGGAAGGAUCCGCACAGUGAGUGUGAGGCCAGUGCUUUGAAAUCAAAGUCGGCAGACUGGGACACUGUCAGGAGGGUCCAGGCCGCAGCAAGCUUUAAUUGGAGUCUGCUUAUUCUUGUUGUUUACUAUUGCUUUUUUUUUUUUUAUUACAGUAUAUACUCGAGUAUAAGUCUAGUUUUUCAGCACAUUUUUUGUGCUUAAAAACCCCCACUCGACUUAUACUCGAGUCACUGUCUGUAUUAUGGCAACUUAGAGAGCCGCGGCCGUCAGAGCCAUGGCAACG